rnacentral:rRNA from 1 species
GAUUAGAGUUUGAUCAUGGCUCAGGAUGAACGCUGGCGGCGUGCCUAAUACAUGCAAGUCGAACGGAGAUUGUAGCAAUACGGUCUUAGUGGCGGACGGGUGAGUAACGCGUUGGUAACCUGCCCCGAAGCGUGGGAUAACGGUCCGAAAGGACCACUAAUACCACAUGUGAUCCCGAGGAAUAGAUACUUGGGAUGAAAGGAGCAAUUCGCUUCGGGAGGGACCUGCGUCCCAUCAGCUAGUUGGUAGGGUAACGGCCUACCAAGGCGAUGACGGGUAGGGGACCUGAGAGGGUGGCCCCCCACAAUGGAACUGAAACACGGUCCAUACACCUACGGGUGGCAGCAGUAGGGAAUAUUGGUUAAUGUGCGAAAGCGCGAACCAGCAACGCCGCGUGUGCGAUGAAGGCCUUCGGGUCGUAAAGCACUUUUUGCAGGGAAGAGGAAGGACGGUACCGCAGAAU